rnacentral:rRNA from 1 species
UACGUAGGGUCCGAGCGUUGUCCGGAAUUAUUGGGCGUAAAGAGCUCGUAGGCGGUUUGUCGCGUCUGCUGUGAAAUCCCGAGGCUCAACCUCGGGCCUGCAGUGGGUACGGGCAGACUGGAGUGCGGUAGGGGAGAAUGGAAUUCCUGGUGUAGCGGUGAAAUGCGCAGAUAUCAGGAGGAACACCGGUGGCGAAGGCGGGUCUCUGGGCAACAACUGACGCUGAGGAGCGAAAGCGUGGGGAGCGAACAGG